UUAAAACUUUCAACAACGGAUCUCUUGGUUCUGGCAUCGAUGAAGAACGCAGCGAAAUGCGAUAAGUAAUGUGAAUUGCAGAAUUCAGUGAAUCAUCGAAUCUUUGAACGCACAUUGCGCCCCUUGGUAUUCCGGGGGGCAUGCCUGUUCGAGCGUCAUUACACCACUCAAGCUCAGCUUGGUAUUGGGCCU
rnacentral:rRNA from 1 species